rnacentral:rRNA from 1 species
UACGGAGGAUCCGAGCGUUAUCCGGAUUUAUUGGGUUUAAAGGGAGCGUAGGCGGGUUGUUAAGUCAGUUGUGAAAGUUUGCGGCUCAACCGUAAAAUUGCAGUUGAUACUGGCAUCCUUGAGUACAGUAGAGGUAGGCGGAAUUCGUGGUGUAGCGGUGAAAUGCUUAAAUAUCACGAAGAACUCCGAUUGCGAAGGCAGCCUGCUGGACUGUAACUGACGCUGAUGCUCGAAAGUGUGGGUAUCAAACAGG